GAAGGACCAAUUUCGAAAAUAACCCAUCUUCACGAAACACGCGGAUCCCCCGGGUCGGCUCAACAAGCGGAUCGACGGCUACUAAACGGCGUUUUUGGUACUAUCAAACCUCCCAAAACGGCGCCGUAUUAUGUUAUUACUUAAACAAGAUUUUUAACAAAAAAAAAGAACAUUUGCAGCAUAAGUUUUUUUGAAAAAAAGGUUGCAGCUCUUCUUCUCUGCUAGGGUUUCAACCCUAGUCCUAGCCGCCGCCAUUUCCGCCGCAUCAAACCCGAGCCCCAUCUAACUCCGAUUUGGACGGAGUAAACGGAGCCCUGACGGCGCUUUUAUGAAGGUACGAAACUGCCUUCUUCCUUCUCCUUUACCUUUUUCGCAUAUAUAUAUAUAAAAAGAAUAGCAAAUCAAAGAGAAAAGAAAUCAUAAAAAAAACUCAGAAUAUCACCUUUUAAAAAAAACUAAUGUAGUUUUUUAUUGCCCAUUUUUUGUAUUCAGUAUCCAACCCCCUACAUUGAAGCAAUCUGCUCUUUUUAUAGCCAGAUCUAAUGAAAUUACAAAGGUUUUUUAUUUUAUUUUAUUGCUAUUCCUCGUUUUCUUUGCCGUUAUUCCCUUAUGCUUCUAGUGUAUUCCUUUCUGUUUGUUGCUGUUGCAGGUACAGCUGGAGUGCACGUGGAAAACCUAAGAAGAUUACAAAAAUUCCAAAAUAAUAUAAAAAAGCUAAGGAAAACCUAGAAAUUCAAAAAAAACAAACGUCGACAUUCAAUUUGCUGUUUCACAUUCAAUUUUUGGAGAAGUAGAAUUAUUUAACUUAUUUUCCAUCAACUUCACUUCAAUUUUCAAUCACAAUCAAUUGCAUUCAAGAGCACCACAUCUUUUUGGAUGAAACAAAGCUCUCAAUUUUAAGAUAAACGGGUCUUUAGGGUUAUUAAUUGAGGGCCUUUUCCAUAAUUGCCAUCGCUAUUUACGGGUGAUUCGGGGAUAAUAACUUCAACAUUUGUGUAUCACAUUUAAUUCGAUUCCACAUUCAAUUUUUAGUUUUUAGAGAGAUGAUUGGAUUACAACAAUGGUUUGAAGUGAAGAUAUUUCAAAUGAAGAUGAAUAAUUUAAAAUUCAGGUUAUGUUUCAUUUUAACUAAGUUAAAUGUUAAGAUUGAGAUUAAACCUUUUAGAGGUUGCUCACAAAAGGAUAAGCCUUUAUAAAAGUGCUUAAAUGAAGGCCAAAUUUUUUAAAAUAGGCAAAUAAGGUCCUAACCUUUUAAAAGGUGUUUAAAUAAAGGCUUCUCAAAUGUUGUAUAUCAGGUUAUGUAUUUUACUCUAAACACAUCGACAUUUACCUAUUUUUUUCUAUAAACUGAGUUGAAGUGUGUGAAAAAUCCUUAUUUGAACACUUCUGUAAGGGUUAAACUCUUACUGAACCAUUUUGAAAGGUUUAGUCCUUAUGUAAGCAACCUCUAAAAGAAAUACCUAAAUAUGUUUUCAUGAAUCAAGAAAUUAAAAAAGAAAUGUUGAGAAAUAUUUUAGAGAUUCUUAGCUUUGACAAGUUCCCUCCACCAUCUCCCUGCCUCCAGUCCCACUCUUCUCUUAUGCUCCUCCCAGGUUCUUGCUUUUUGUGUGUUGAAAAUUCAAAUGAACUAAAUAUCAACCUACAUCAUAAGGCACGAAAAUAUCAACCUACAUCAUAAGGCACGAAGGCCAGAAAUUACUUGAGAUCUGACAACUUUAUUUCAUUUUCAUUUUCUGUUAUUUUCUAUGUUUCUUGUCAAAUACAAUGAAAGAAGAACAUAGAAAAAUGUUGCCUAUUUAUUUCCCAAUCAUCAUGAAAUUACUUGCCAUAGACUUAGAAUUUUCUCACCAAUUUUCAAGCAAUCUGACAUGAUUUCUCAAUCACAAUUAAUUGAAUUCAAGAUCUUUUUGGAUGACACAAACAUUUCAAUUUUAACACAAACCAAUAUUUAGGUUAUACUUCAGUGCUUGACAAGCACUGUCACAUUUAUGGGAUAAUAACUCUAACAUUUUAGGAUCACAGUUAUAUUUGACUUUAGCAUUGACAUGCUUUUUUAAUAAUUAAUCUUUUAUAACAAGGUAAAUAUAGCAUCGACAUGUUUUUGGUAGGGUCGAGCAAAACCCAAUUAAAACCGAUGAUAUUGUUAAAAUCAAUUUUAAAAUCAGUUAUAAUGGAUUAAGGUAAUUAAUUAUCGAGUAAUGAAAU
rnacentral:lncRNA from 1 species